rnacentral:rRNA from 1 species
CAGGACAACACAGAGGGUGAGAAUCCCGUUCAUGGCUGGACUGCCGUUGCAAAAUAGACUGUCUUCGACGAGUCGAGUUGUUUGGGAAUGCAGCUCAAAAUGGGUGGUAAAUGUCAUCUAAAGCUAAAUAUUGGCGAGAGACCGAUAGCGCACAAGUAGAGUGAUCGAAAGAUGAAAAGCACUUUGAAAAGAGAGUCAAAAAGUACGUGAAAUUGCUGAAAGGGAAGCGCUUGAGACCAGACUCGAGUCGUGGUGAUCAGUCGUGCUUCUGUACGGUGCCACUUGCCACGGUUUGGGCCAGCAUCGGUUCCGGCGGUCGGAUAAAAGGUGGGGGAAUGUAGCUUCCUUUCGGGAGUGUUAUAGCCCUUAUCACAAUGCGGCCAGCUGGGAUCGAGGACCGCGCUUUCGGGCUAGGAUGCUGGCGUAAUGGUCUUAAGCGACCCGUCUUGAAACACGGACCAAGGAGUCUAACAUCUAUGCGAGUGUUCGGGUGGAAAACCCUUGCGCGUAAUGAAAGUGAACGGAGGUGGGAACCCGUAAGGGUGCACCAUCGACCGAUCCUGAUGUCUUCGGAAGGAUUUGAGUAGGAGCAUAGCUGUUGGGACCCGAAAGAUGGUGAACUAUGCCUGAAUAGGGUGAAGCCAGAGGAAACUCUGGUGGAGGCUCGCAGCGGUUCUGACGUGCAAAUCGAUCGUCAAAUUUGGG